UAAGCCUGUGAAGGUGUGUCGUGAGGCAUGCUGGAGGUAUCAGAAGUGCGAAUGCUGACAUAAGUAACGAUAAAGCGGGUGAAAAGCCCGCUCGCCGGAAGACCAAGGGUUCCUGUCCAACGUUAAUCGGGGCAGGGUGAGUCGACCCCUAAGGCGAGGCCGAAAGGCGUAGUCGAUGGGAAACGGGUUAAUAUUCCCGUACUUGGUGUUACUGCGAAGGGGGGACGGAGAAGGCUAUGUUGGCCGGGCGACGGUUGUCCCGGUUUAAGCGUGUAGGUGUGUGUUCCAGGUAAAUCCGGUUCACUUUAACACUGAGGCGUGACGACGAGGCACUACGGUGCUGAAGCAACAAAUGCCCUGCUUCCAGGAAAAGCCUCUAAGCAUCAGGUAACAUCAAAUCGUACCCCAAACCGACACAGGUGGUCAGGUAGAGAAUACCAAGGCGCUUGAGAGAACUCGGGUGAAGGAACUAGGCAAAAUGGUGCCGUAACUUCGGGAGAAGGCACGCUGACACGUAGGUGAAGUGAUUUACUCAUGGAGCUGAAGUCAGUCGAAGAUACCAGCUGGCUGCAACUGUUUAUUAAAAACACAGCACUGUGCAAACACGAAAGUGGACGUAUACGGUGUGACGCCUGCCCGGUGCCGGAAGGUUAAUUGAUGGGGUCAGCGCAAGCGAAGCUCCUGAUCGAAGCCCCGGUAAACGGCGGCCGUAACUAUAACGGUCCUAAGGUAGCGAAAUUCCUUGUCGGGUAAGUUCCGACCUGCACGAAUGGCGUAAUGAUGGCCAGGCUGUCUCCACCCGAGACUCAGUGAAAUUGAACUCGCUGUGAAGAUGCAGUGUACCCGCGGCAAGACGGAAAGACCCCGUGAACCUUUACUAUAGCUUGACACUGAACAUUGAGCCUUGAUGUGUAGGAUAGGUGGGAGGCUUUGAAGUGUGGACGCCAGUCUGCAUGGAGCCGACCUUGAAAUACCACCCUUUAAUGUUUGAUGUUCUAACGUGGACCCGUGAUCCGGGUUGCGGACAGUGUCUGGUGGGUAGUUUGACUGGGGCGGUCUCCUCCUAAAGAGUAACGGAGGAGCACGAAGGUUGGCUAAUCCUGGUCGGACAUCAGGAGGUUAGUGCAAUGGCAUAAGCCAGCUUGACUGCGAGCGUGACGGCGCGAGCAGGUGCGAAAGCAGGUCAUAGUGAUCCGGUGGUUCUGAAUGGAAGGGCCAU
rnacentral:rRNA from 1 species